AUAUAAAAUAAAUUUUUUAUGAUUUAUAAAAAUUUUUUAAAAUUUAUUUUACAUAUAAAUUUUAGUGUAAAUUUUUAAAUAUUUUAAGAAUAUUUAAUUUUAUUAAAUUAGUAAUUAAUAUUAAAAAUUUAAGAAAUUAAGAUUUAGUAAUAUUAAAAUUAAUAACAAAUUUUGUGCCAGCAGUUGCGGUUAUACAAAAGUUAAAUUAAAUUUUAUUAGUAAUAAUUAAUAUAAAAUAAUUUAAUUUAAAUAUUAAAUUAAUAAGUGAAAUUUUAAUUUAAUUAAAAAUUAUAAUAAAAAUUGUAUGAUUUAAUAAAUUUUAAUAUAAACUAGGAUUAGAUACCCUAUUAUUAAAAAUUUAAAUUUAAAAUACUAAAAUAGUAAAUAAUUAUUUAUUUAAACUUAAAUAAUUUGGCGGUAUUUUAGUUCAUUUAGAGGAAUCUGUUUAUUAAUUGAUAAUCCACGAAUAAUUUUACUUAGUUUAUAAUUUUGUAUAUCGUUGUUAAAAAAAUAUUUUUAAAUAAAUUUAAUAUUUUAAAAUUUAAAAAGAAAAUUAAAUCAGAUCAAGAUGCAGAUAAUAAUUAAGAAUAUAAUGGAUUACAAUAAAUUUAUUUAUAUGAAUAUUAAAUUGAAAAAUUUAAUUGAAAGUGGAUUUAAAUGUAAUUUUAUUUAAUUUAAUAAAAUGAUUUUAAAUUAAAAUAUGUACAUAUUGCCCGUCGCUUUCAUUAAUAAGUUGAAAUAAGUCGUAACAAAGUAGAGGUACUGGAAAGUGUUUCUAGAAAGAA
rnacentral:ncRNA from 1 species